AUUGAACGCUGGCGGCAGGCUUAACACAUGCAAGUCGAGCGAGCGGCGGACGGGUGAGUAAUGUCUGGGAAACUUCCUGAUGGAGGGGGAUAACUAAUGGAAACGGUAGCUAAUACAGCAUACCAUCGGAUGUUCCCAGAUGGGAUUAGCUAGUAGGGGGGGUAAGGCAUCACCUAGGCGACGAUCCCUAGCUGGUCUGAGAGGAGGACCAGCAACACUGGAACUGAGACACGGUCCAGACUCCUACGGGAGGCAGCAGUGGGGAAUAUUGCACAAUGGGCCCAAGCCUGAUGCAGCCAUGCCGCGUGUAUGAAGAAGGCCUGCGGGUUGUAAAGUACUUUCAGCGGGGAGGCGUUACCCGCAGAAGAAGCACCGGCUAACUCCGUGCCAGCAGCCGCGGUAAUAC
rnacentral:rRNA from 1 species